AACAAUGGCGAGGCGACCACGUUUGGUGAAUGCCAUUGCUUUUAUCUUGCUAGUACUCACCAUCUUCUUCAUCCCCGAAACUGAAAGUGUUCGGUCACCGAGGAGACUGGAGUUAGCGAGCUCGGUGGAAGAAAUCGAGAAGGGUUCAUCAUUUCUGGGGAUAAAGGAUAAUUCUGGACCCAGUACGAGUGGUCCAGGACAUAGAGCUAGUGAUGCACCGAGUCAGGAUAUACACCAUUAGCCUGUUGAACGAAGUUAUAAACUCUCCAUCGUCCUCUUCGUUUUCUUUUUGUUUCGUUUCAUAUUUUUGAUAUCGGGUUUUUUUAGUUGAGUUUUUGAAUAAAUUUCGAGUCGAAUCAAAUCGGACGGAAGCAAAACUCUCUAGACGUUAUACAAGUAACUUACCACUCAGCUCAACAGGUGUAUGUGAGAAU
rnacentral:lncRNA from 1 species